UGCCAUCUGAAGUUGGGAUUACCAGGUCCCAAAGACAUUAGUUUAUUGGGGCUUUAUCAGGCUUAUAAAAACCUUAAUUACUUAUUGAUCCCAGCCAGCCCGAUCCCUUUAAACCCCAAUAGCCUCUGGGACUGCAAAAUCAGCCUCCCCCAAUCUGUGUUCCUGAGGAAGCAACUCUACCUGAUGAACAAAUUCACCCAGACUUUAAUAACCUGGCUAAAACAGAGAGAUUAGCAAUCCCUGGGUCAUGGGAGGCAAACCUACUUUACAGAGGGGAAGAUGGAGGCACAGAGAAAGGAGUAACUUGCCCAAGGCACCAGGGGAGUUACCAGAACCAGGACUAGGUCCUCCUCAUUUGCUCCUCACAAUACAAAGAUAUAUUCACAGAAAUCAAAACUGGGUCAAAAAAAAAUCCUUCAUUUACAAAGAAUUCAGCCAACACGUAAUUGCUUUUUCUAAAGAGAUCUUCGGUUUUACUAAUUCUAACUAUAUUUAUUUAGCAUUUACUAUAUGCAAGCACUGUGCUCAGCACCCUGUGCCUUACGGGAAGAUGAUAUUCCCGUUUUCUACUUGGGAAAGGAGGGUGCAAAUAGAUAAACUGGAUCCAUCAGGAAUCUCAAAUGGAGCACAACUGGAAACCAGUAGUUUGCCACCAAACCUGAAGAUGAAAUGUCAAGGCAAAAAGAAUAUGGUGGUCCACUAGGAAGCCACAAUCACCGUCUUUUAAAGUUUUGUCAUUCCAUAAAACGGACCUUCCUUUCCCUGUCAUCUAGUUUCUCACUUCAGUCAAUAACUUAACUAAGAAAGCACCAACUGGAAUCCUGACUCUGCCAGGAGCCUGCUUCCCUGGCACGUUCCCUGGGGAUCUGUCUACUCCAUGUAGAACCAGCACUGCCCAACCCCUAGAGAAGUGCCCCUGCCCCAAUCCUUUCAGCAAGCACCCAGAUUAGACAAGAUAUUAUUCCAUGAAACACUGCCUUUCUCCCUCCCUCCCUUCUCAGCACAGAGCCCACCCAGGAUUUCUAAGAUAAUUCAACCCAGACCUGCAGGAAAGUUACUACUGGUUAGAGUAACCAAAAUCCCAGCCUUGGGGAUUCUUUGCAGGCUUUGGUACAGAAGACCAGCUCUCCCAAGAACACAAGGAAGAGGGUAACCCAAGGCCUGAGGUCAACUCUCAGGGAGGGGUCAGCUAGCAUCUUAGAAGGAGCCAAGCUUAAUGCCCUGCAGUUUCAGUUCUGGCCUGGGUCCUCCCAACCUAUGGGCUCCAAGGAACUCCCAGUCUGCCAGAAUCUGAGUUCAAAAAAUCCCAUUGCUACCUUCCUCUCUUAGUCCACUGGAUUUUUCUGUCUUUCUUUCUGUCUGUCUGUCUUUUUAGGUGGCACAUGGAGGUUCCCAGGCUAGGGGUCGAUCAGAGCUAUAGCUGCCAACCUACACCAGAGCCACAGCAACGCAGGAUCCAAGCCCAAGGAGCCACAGCUCACGGCAAUGCUGGAUCCUUAACCCAAGGAGCAAGGCCAGGGAUUGAACCUGAGUCCUUAUGGAUGCUGGUCGGAUUUGCUUCCACUGAGCCACGAUGGGAACUCCCUGGAUUUUUCUUAAAAAAAUAUAUAUAUAUUGCUUAUUCAUCCUUUCCCUCAAUCAUUGCCUUUGGUCUUCUGUUGUAUGUUAAUUGUCCAACUCCACUUUGUCUUCCUUAGCCCUUCUCGACAACCUCUUUCAUCUCAUUUUUAUGUUUCUCUGUUUGUAUUUAUUUUACUUGAUCUUCUUUUAUAUUACAAUAUUUUUAUUUUUACUCUGGUUGGCCUCAUGGGUUUUUACUUUUCAAUUUCCCAGGCCACCAAUCUUUUGCAUUGCUCUUUCCAUUAUUUGAGGCUUCUCUUCAUUGACUCUUUGGUUUUCCUCCUGUUGACAGUUGAGCAAGUGAGACUGAAGUUGCCCUCUCUGCACCUGCCUUGCAGAAGCCUCCCGGGCAGGACAUAGUAGUAAGCCCUGGCCCCCUGCCCAUACCCAGCCUUCACACCCUUUCCAGUACUCUUUCCAGGGCACUGCCAAUGGCACAGGCAGGUGCCCAUGCCCAGCAGCCCAACUGAGGAGGCUUCUAUUUGCUGGAACCACAUCCCACAGGCUAAUGAGGAGGAAGGUAAUCAGUGUGAUUUCCCUAGAUAAGGACAGGGGUCCCUCUUUAUCCCUGUUAAAUGUUCAAUAAACUGGGGCCCAGUCCAGAGUGUGCCAUCUGCUUGGAACCAAGAUAGUCCCAAAAGUUACAUGUGUGAAAAGUUGCUUUUUUUUUUUUUUUUUUUUUUUCAGGGAAGUUCCCAGGUCGACUCGGAGCUGAAGCUGCCAGGCUAUGCCACAGCCACAGCCACGCCAAAUCUGAGCCACAUCUGUGUCCUACACCACAGUUCACAGCAAUGCCAGAUCCUCCCUUAACCCACUGAGCAAGGCCAGGGAUCAAAUCCACAUCUUCACUGAUACGAGUUGGAUUCUUAAUCCACUGAGUCACAACAGGAACACCAAAAGUUUCUUCUUUCAUAAAAACAAGCUGGAACCUCAAAGGUCUGCUCCCUGGACCCAGGCUCUGCAGGCAGUGUGGUAAACAGGACCAAAAAACAGUUCAAGCCCAUCUGGGACUUUCAUGCUGAAAGGAUAGAAGGACAGAAGAGGACAAAUUCAGAGAGGCAGGCUGGAGUUUGCACAAAGGCAUUACCAAAUGCCAAAGGACAGCAAGAAUGGGGAAGGCUCGGUUCUCAGGAAGGACCCUGAGCCAUCAUCUCAGUCUCAGGCCUCCUGGGGCAGCCUCUGUCCCAACCUCCACCCAAAGCAGUGGUCCCCCACAUGUGUGUCCCCCAGCCUGGAUCCAGGAUGUUCUGCAGAGGAAGGGCUGGCUUCUGGGACUCUAGACCUACCCCUCUCCAUCAGGCUUGAACUUGUGGGCUUCCAUGUAUGAGGAAAGGGUUUUGCUGGUGAGAGCCUAAAUUUUGAAACCUCAGCCUUGAUGAUCUCUCCUGAGCCCAAAGGCUGACUUAGACCCUUCCCAGGUUGCCUUCUGGGAUUCUGGCUUCCACGCUACAAGGCCUGGGCCCUGCAACUCUGCCCUUUCUGCACUUGGGGGAGCUCCCAAUUCCCCAGGCAGGAACAAGGAACAGGGAAACAAACUCUAGCCUGUCUUUUUCCUGAGCAAAACUCAGGCCUCCACACCCUCAUCAGCCACUGCCACAGCUCCAGACCCAGGACAUGGAGCAUCCCAGAUGUCCUCUCUCUGUCUGCCCCUGCCAUGUGCUGCAGUGGGUCCCUGCAGUGGGCUCUACACAGCCUGAGUUGAUACCUUGAGCUGAGUUAAGGGAGAAAGUGUACGUUCCAAGCAAAGAGAAUAGGAGGGAAAGUGUGGAGCUAGAAGGAUGUAAAGGGACACGGAGGGGAGAGCAGCAAGAUGUGAAGGAGGAGUUGGCGGAAGGGCCAGGAUGGAAUUUGCCAGAAUGGUCCUAAUGGGAGAUGCUGAGGCCAGUCUCACUGCUUUUUAGACAUGUUCUAUAGAGCAGGAGCCUGAGGUGGCCCUGAGCAGACAGAGACAUGUCUACCACUGUGUUUUCAGUGGGCACCUUAGGGAAACGAGGGGACCACUGAUCCACAGUAGAGUCAAGACAGAGGGGUGAUGCUUUUGUUCCCAUGACCGCAAGGGAUCUCACAGGAGGCUGACCCUCCCUGACUCUGCACUCAGAGCUAGUCAUAUAUCCUCUGCCCUCUGAGGGAUGGAGCUGUGGGUGACCACAGGUAAGGUGGGGCCCCAAGGUCCUUGUCUGUAAGGGGGUAUCCAACUAUCACCCCUCCCAGUAGGAGACUCCAGACACUCUGUGGAAUGAAUGUGAGAGGAUCAAUCCCUCCCACCUCAUCCCCUCCCAAGUCACGCACAGCCCUGCAGCUCCCGCUGGCCUGAACCUGAAGCCUCUCAGAGCUAAGCCCCCACCUCCCCAAGGGUCAAGUACUAGAGGAACUGCAUCUGCCUGGAGCCCUGGCUUAUCUGGUACAUAAUUCCAUCCCAGACCCAGGUCUCCAGCUAGACACAACCCCUAACGAAUCAGAUCACCCUGCUCACCGACACACCCAUUUCCAUGAGCAAUUUUUCUUGCCUGUAAACCUCUUCUUUUAUGCAGCGAUGAAAUGAAAUUGUGAUUGAUUUUUCUCUGUCUGGGUGUCACGGCACAUUUAGCACCCUGUAAACCCAAAGGAUGAAGGUGCUACCUCCUGGGGAUGCUUCUGAGGACUCAGCUUAGAGCAGAACCAUCUACUGCCCCUUCAGCUGAGGUAGGGAGAUGGUACCAGAUCCACUGCCGACGUCCUGGGCAAUCUUGGGCAGUGUCCCUAAAUUCCCAGACAUUCAUGUGGAAAGUGGAGAUGGAGAUCCAGGGUUUGGGGUUAAGGAAAAAAACAGGGAAUGAGAGGGAAUAGGAGCCCCAAGGGAAGAUCCCAGAAAAGGAAGCCUGGGCACAGCAGCACCACACACACCUUGCUGCAGAAAAAGAAUCAAUUGGAAAUGGGGAUGAGAGUCAGCUUGCCUCCCAAACUCACUUUAACUUUCUCCAAAAUCAGGGGAGGUCCAAUAAUAAAAGGGAAUGAAGGAAGAAGCUGCUCUAUAAGAUGAGAACAGCUCUCCAGUGUUAGAGGGGAGGGGCAGGGCUCAACCACAGAGAGGCCCAGUUCUCCUGUUGCCUGUUCAUAAGGUUGGUGAUCAGGACAAGACCCUCUGAGAAUAGGGUUCUCAUCCCCAAUCUACAGGUGAGAUCACUGAGGGUCACCCUUAGUGGGUGUGACUGGCUGAAAGCUGGUCCCUGAAAGAUAUUUCCAUCCUAUUCCUCAGAAUCCAUAAAUGUGACCUUGUUUUGAUAGAUGCAAACGAUUACAUUUAGAAUGGAUGAGCAAUGAGGUCCUACUGUACAGCACAAGUUAUAUCGCCAAUCUCUUGGGAUAGAACCUGAUGGAAGGUAAGAUGAGAAAAAGAAUAUGUAUUUAGGUAUGGUUGUGUCACUUUGCUGUACAGCAGAAAUUGACACAACAUUGUCAAUCAACUAUAAUUUUUUAACAAUGGAAAAAAAAGUGUCUUUGUAGAUGUGAUUAACUAAGAACUCGAGGAGAUAGUCGUGGACUGCCAGAGUGAGCCCUAAAUUCAUUCCACCACAAGCAUCCUUAGGAGAGAGAAGCAGAGGUAGAUGCAUAGACAGAAGGUGUUGUGACCACAGAGACAGUGUUUGGAAUGAUGCAGACACAAGCCAAGGAAUGCCAGCUGCCACCAGAAGCUGGAAGAGGCAAGGACAGAUUCUCCCCUAGUGUGUGGGAGCACAGCCCCACUGGAUCUCAGACUUCUGGCCUCUAGAAUUGUGACAGACUAAAUUUAAGUCACCUCGCUUGCCCAUGGUCAUUUUAAACCACCACCACAAAGAAUGAAGUAAGGAGUUGCUGCUGUGGCUCAGUGGUUAACAAACCCGACUAGCACCUAUGAGGACGUGGGUUCACUCCCUGGCCUCGCUCAGUGGAUUAAGGAAACAGCAUUGCCACGAGCUGUGGUAUAGGUUGCAGACGCGGCUUGGAUCCCACAUUGCUGUGACUGUGGCAUAGGCCAGCGGCUACAGCUCCUAUUCAACCCCUAGCCUGGGAACCUCCCUAUGCCAC
rnacentral:lncRNA from 1 species